CCUACGGGAGGCAGCAGUGGGGGAUAUUGCACAAUGGGGGAAACCCUGAUGCAGCGACGCCGCGUGAGUGAAGAAGUAUUUCGGUAUGUAAAGCUCUAUCAGCAGGGAAGAAAAUGACAGUACCUGACCAAGAAGCCCAGGCUAACUACGUGCCAGCAGCCGCGGUAAUACGUAGGGGGCAAGCGUUAUCCGGAUUUACUGGGUGUAACGGGGGCGUAGACGGUUAUGUAAGUCUGGAGUGAAAGCCCGGGGCCCAACCCCGGGACUGCUUUGGAAACUGUGUAACUGGAGUGCAGGAGGGGCAGGCGGAAUUCCUGGUGUAGCGGUGAAAUGCGUAGAUAUCAGGAGGAACACCGGCGGCGAAGGCGGCCUGCUGGACUGAAACUGACGUUGAGGCUCGAAAGCGUGGGGAGCAAACAGGAUUAGAUACCCGGGUAGUC
rnacentral:rRNA from 1 species